UACGUAGGCAGCGAGCGUUGUUCGGAAUUACUGGGCGUAAAGAGUGCGUAGGCGGUGCUUUAAGUUUGGUGUGAAAUCUCCCGGCUCAACUGGGAGGGUGCGCCGAAAACUGGAGUGCUGGAGUAUGGGAGAGGAAGGCGGAAUUCCUGGUGUAGCGGUGAAAUGCGUAGAUAUCAGGAGGAACACCUGCGGUGUAGACGGCUUUCUGGACCAUGACUGACGCUGAGGCACGAAAGCGUGGGGAG
rnacentral:rRNA from 1 species